GAACGCUGGCGGCAGGCCUAACACAUGCAAGUCGAGCGGUAGAGAGGUGCUUGCAUCUCUGAGAGCGGCGGACGGGUGAGUAAUGCCUAGGAAUCUGCCUGGUGGUGGGGGAUAACGUCGGAAACGGACGCUAAUACCGCAUACGGUCCUACGGGAGGAAGCGGGGGAUCUUCGGACCUCGCGCCAUUAGAUGAGCCUAGGUCGGAUUAGCUAGUUGGUGAGAUAAUGGCUCACCAAGGCGACGAUCCGUAACUGGUCUGAAGAGGAUGAUCAGUCACACUGGAACUGAGACACGGUCCAGACUCCUACGGGAGGCAGCAGUGGGAAUAUUGGACAAUGGGCGAAAGCCUGAUCCAGCCAUGCCGCGUGUGUGAAGAAGGUCUUCGGAUUGUAAAGCACUUUAAGUUGGGAGGAAGGGUAGUAACCUAAUACGUUGCUACUUUGACGUUACCGACAGAAUAAGCACCGGCUAACUUCGUG
rnacentral:rRNA from 1 species